AGAGUUUGAUCCUGGCUCAGGAUGAACGCUAGCUACAGGCUUAACACAUGCAAGUCGAGGGGCAGCAUGGUCUUAGCUUGCUAAGACUGAUGGCGACCGGCGCACGGGUGAGUAACACGUAUCCAACCUGCCGUCUACUCUUGGACAGCCUUCUGAAAGGAAGAUUAAUACAAGAUGGCAUCAUGAGUCCGCAUGUUCACAUGAUUAAAGGUAUUCCGGUAGACGAUGGGGAUGCGUUCCAUUAGAUAGUAGGCGGGGUAACGGCCCACCUAGUCUUCGAUGGAUAGGGGUUCUGAGAGGAAGGUCCCCCACAUUGGAACUGAGACACGGUCCAAACUCCUACGGGAGGCAGCAGUGAGGAAUAUUGGUCAAUGGGCGAGAGCCUGAACCAGCCAAGUAGCGUGAAGGAUGACUGCCCUAUGGGUUGUAAACUUCUUUUAUAAAGGGAUAAAGUCGGGUAUGCAUACCCGUUUGCAUGUACUUUAUGAAUAGGGAUCGGCUAACUCCGUGCCAGCAGCCGCGGUAAUACGGAGGAUCCGAGCGUUAUCCGGAUUUAUUGGGUUUAAAGGGAGCGUAGAUGGAUGUUUAAGUCAGUUGUGAAAGUUUGCGGCUCAACCGUAAAAUUGCAGUUGAUACUGGAUAUCUUGAGUGCAGUUGAGGCAGGCGGAAUUCGUGGUGUAGCGGUGAAAUGCUUAGAUAUCACGAAGAACUCCGAUUGCGAAGGCAGCCUGCUAAGCUGCAACUGACAUUGAGGCUCGAAAGUGUGGGUAUCAAACAGGAUUAGAUACCCUGGUAGUCCACACGGUAAACGAUGAAUACUCGCUGUUUGCGAUAUACGGCAAGCGGCCAAGCGAAAGCGUUAAGUAUUCCACCUGGGGAGUACGCCGGCAACGGUGAAACUCAAAGGAAUUGACGGGGGCCCGCACAAGCGGAGGAACAUGUGGUUUAAUUCGAUGAUACGCGAGGAACCUUACCCGGGCUUAAAUUGCAAAUGAAUUACGGUGAAAGCCGUAAGCCGCAAGGCAUCUGUGAAGGUGCUGCAUGGUUGUCGUCAGCUCGUGCCGUGAGGUGUCGGCUUAAGUGCCAUAACGAGCGCAACCCUUGUUGUCAGUUACUAACAGGUUCUGCUGAGGACUCUGACAAGACUGCCAUCGUAAGAUGUGAGGAAGGUGGGGAUGACGUCAAAUCAGCACGGCCCUUACGUCCGGGGCUACACACGUGUUACAAUGGGGGGUACAGAGGGCCGCUACCACGCGAGUGGAUGCCAAUCCCCAAAACCCCUCUCAGUUCGGACUGGAGUCUGCAACCCGACUCCACGAAGCUGGAUUCGCUAGUAAUCGCGCAUCAGCCACGGCGCGGUGAAUACGUUCCCGGGCCUUGUACACACCGCCCGUCAAGCCAUGGGAGCCGGGGGUACCUGAAGUGCGUAACCGCGAGGAGCGCCCUAGGGUAAAACUGGUGACUGGGGCUAAGUCGUAACAAGGUA
rnacentral:rRNA from 1 species